AGAGUUUGAUCAUGGCUCAGAAUCAACGCUGGCGGCGUGCCUAACACAUGCAAGUCGAACGAGAAAGUGGAGCAAUCCAUGAGUACAGUGGCGCACGGGUGAGUAACACGUGACUAACCUACCCUUGAGUGGGGGAUAACUUCGGGAAACCGAGGCUAAUACCGCAUAACACCGAGAGGUCAAAGGAGCAAUUCGCUCGAGGAGGGGGUCGCGGCUGAUUAGCUAGUUGGUGAGGUAAUGGCUCACCAAGGCGAUGAUCAGUAUCCGGCCUGAGAAGGCGCACGGACACACUGGAACUGAAACACGGUCCAGACUCCUACGGGAGGCAGCAGUGGGGAAUUUUGCGCAAUGGGGGAAACCCUGACGCAGCAACGCCGCGUGGUGGAUGAAGUCCCUUGGGACGUAAACUCCUUUCGAUCGGGACGAUGAUGACGGUACCGAGAGAAGAAGCCCCGGCUAACUUCGUGCCAGCAGCCGCGGUAAUACGAGGGGGGCGAGCGUUGUUCGGAAUUAUUGGGCGUAAAGGGCGCGUAGGCGGUUCGGUAAGUCUCCAGUGAAAUCUAUGGGCUCAACCCAUAGUCUGCUGGGGGAAACUGCCGGGCUUGAGUGUGGGAGAGGUGAGUGGAAUUCCCGGUGU
rnacentral:rRNA from 1 species